rnacentral:rRNA from 1 species
UACGAAGGGGGCUAGCGUUGCUCGGAAUCACUGGGCGUAAAGGGUGCGUAGGCGGGUCUUUAAGUCAGGGGUGAAAUCCUGGAGCUCAACUCCAGAACUGCCUUUGAUACUGAGAAGCUUGAGUCCGGGAGAGGUGAGUGGAACUGCGAGUGUAGAGGUGAAAUUCGUAAAUAUUCGCAAGAACACCAGUGGCGAAGGCGGCUCACUGGCCCGGUACUGACGCUGAGGUGCGAAAGCGUGGGGAGCAAACAGG